CCUUCGGGUCUAGUGGCGCACGGGUGCGUAACGCGUGGGUAAUCUGCCCUUGGGUUCGGAAUAACAGUUGGAAACGACUGCUAAUACCGGAUGAUGACGAAAGUCCAAAGAUUUAUCGCCCAGGGAUGAGCCCGCGUAGGAUUAGCUAGUUGGUGAGGUAAAGGCUCACCAAGGCUACGAUCCUUAGCUGGUCUGAGAGGAUGAUCAGCCACACUGGGACUGAGACACGGCCCAGACUCCUACGGGAGGCAGCAGUAGGGAAUAUUGGACAAUGGGGGCAACCCUGAUCCAGCAAUGCCGCGUGAGUGAUGAAGGCCUUAGGGUUGUAAAGCUCUUUUACCCGGGAUGAUAAUGACAGUACCGGGAGAAUAAGCCCCGGCUAACUCCGUGCCAGCAGCCGCGGUAAUACGGAGGGGGCUAGCGUUGUUCGGAAUUACUGGGCGUAAAGCGCACGUAGGCGGCGAUUUAAGUCAGAGGUGAAAGCCCGGGGCUCAACCCCGGAAUAGCCUUUGAGACUGGAUUGCUUGAAUCUUGGAGAGGCGGGUGGAAUUCCGAGUGUAGAGGUGAAAUUCGUAGAUAUUCUGAAGAACACCAGUGGCGAAGGCGGCCCGCUGGACAAGUAUUGACCCUGAG
rnacentral:rRNA from 1 species